GUGGGGAAUAUUGGACAAUGGGCGGAAGCCUGAUCCAGCCAUGCCGCGUGUGUGAAGAAGGCCUUUUGGUUGUAAAGCACUUUAAGCGAGGAGGAGGCUCUUAAGGUUAAUACCCUUGAUGAGUGGACGUUACUCGCAGAAUAAGCACCGGCUAACUCUGUGCCAGCAGCCGCGGUAAUACAGAGGGUGCGAGCGUUAAUCGGAUUUACUGGGCGUAAAGCGUGCGUAGGCGGCUGAUUAAGUCGGAUGUGAAAUCCCUGAGCUUAACUUAGGAAUUGCAUUCGAUACUGGUUAGCUAGAGUAUGGGAGAGGAUGGUAGAAUUCCAGGUGUAGCGGUGAAAUGCGUAGAGAUCUGGAGGAAUACCGAUGGCGAAGGCAGCCAUCUGGCCUAAUACUGACACUGAGGUGCGAAAGCAUGGGGAGCAAACAGGAUUAGAAACCCCGGUAGUCC
rnacentral:rRNA from 1 species